UACAGAGGUGGCGAGCGUUGUUCGGAUUUACUGGGCGUAAAGGGCGCGUAGGCGGUUUCGUGUGUCGAUUGUGAAAUCUCAUCGCUCAACGAUGAAACUGCAGUCGAAACUGCGGGGCUAGAGUGCAGAAGAGGAGAGCGGAAUUCUUGGUGUAGCGGUGAAAUGCGUUGAUAUCAAGAAGAACACCGGUGGCGAAGGCGGCUCUCUGGAAUGCUACUGACGCUGAGGCACGAAAGUUGGGGGAGCAAACAGG
rnacentral:rRNA from 1 species